UUUUCUAACUUUUCGCUUUUAAACCUGUAAGUGAUAACAUUAUAGACUUUGUUUCCAAAUUCAUCUCAACCCUAAAGAAGCCGUCGCACCCACUAGCAGCUCGCCUUCAUGUUCAUCACCUUUGAAUCUCACAUUUCUAUCCCAUUCCCCUAACCCUAAUUCACGCAGCAGUAGUGCCUCCCACUCCCUUAUUUUCAGCAUUCGAGCACUUCUCCUCGUCCUCCAUCUUUCUCCACCGCCAUUAUUUCAGUCUUUCCCUCAACCCUCACAGACUCGGCCCCUCUCUACUCUCCUCCUCAACGCCACUCAUCCCCUCCACCGUCGCAGUCCCUGGCUCACCCUUUCCUUCCCUCGCAGUCACAGCGGCCGUCGCCCGAAGUCCGUCACUCGAAGUCGCACUCCGAAGCCGUUGCCGGUUGUCCUCCUCGAAACUCACCCGUCGCUCGUCGUCCUCCGUGGAACUUGCAACCGCUAUCGUCCUCCGCGGUACAACGACAACAGCAUUAAUGUUGGCAUUCUGUGAACAUCUUUGAGAUAUCUACAGUCUUACUAUUGACAAGACAUUGAUCUACACAACAAAGAGAUUGUAAAACUUGUAGUGUUUCAACUCACACCAACCAAGACCAGAUGUGAGCUGGUAGAGUUUUGUGGUGGUGUUCAUGAGAAAAUAGCUUCAGGGUUGUUUAAGCCUUUUGUUUCUCACCUCAAGUUUGUGAAAGAUGGGAUCUCUAAAGAUGGAUACUCAAUUAAGCUUCUCCCUCCAAACAAUUCUGCAUUCUGGUUCUCCAAGGCCACCUUUGAAAGGAGGUUCAAGCUUCACCUAAGGAGGCAGCUAAAAUAGUGGUUUUGGUCAUUGAUGAGGAAGGUGUGGAGUUACCCAUAUCAGAGCUUGUGAAAGGUGUCAAUGAGCCAAAGCUGUUUUGGUCUUCACACGAACUGUUUUCUUGUUCUUCAAAUUAUAAAUUUUAUUGUUUUUGUUGACAAAUGUGAUGAAAGGUUAUGUAUGUUGGAUUGGUUAAUUUAAAAUUAUAUAAAAAAAUUCCUUUGUUUAAAUUAGUCAU